rnacentral:tRNA from 1 species
UGGCUCAGACGGUAAAGCGUCUGCUUACAGUGCAGGAGACCAGGGUUCAAUCCCUG